rnacentral:lncRNA from 1 species
AAAAAACAUACAAGUUCAUCCUCCUUAGUAGACAUAGAGCAAGCGCCGAGGUUGUGCACAUACAUACCUUUCCCGCCACGAUCGCUCUUCCUGUUCCUGGAGUUCCGGGAAGACGUCUCUGCAGUUUCUUCCUUCUCCCAAUGAGCUAUCAACUGCUCCCACACCGUCCCGUUGAUGAACCGUGGCUUCUUGUUCUUCUGCCAAACUGUCU